rnacentral:rRNA from 1 species
AUUGAACGCUGGCGGCAGGCCUAACACAUGCAAGUCGAGCGGAGCGGCGGACGGGUGAGUAAUGACUAGGAAUCUGCCUGGUAGUGGGGGAUAACGUCCGGAAACGGGCGGUAAUACCGCAUACUAUCAGAUGAGCCUAUGUCGGAUUUGCUAGUUGGUGGGGUAAAGGCCUACCAAGGCGACGAUCCGUAACUGGUCUGAGAGGCUGAUCAGCCACACUGGAACUGAGACACGGUCCAGACUCUUAGGGGAGGCAGAAGUGGGGAAUAUUGCCCAAUGGGCGCAAGCCUGAUGCAGCCAUGCGGCGUGUAUGAAGAAGGCCUUCGGGUUGUAAAGUACUUUCAGCGGGGAGGCGUUACCCGCAGAAGAAGCGCCGGCUAAGUCCGUGACAGCCGCCGCGGUAAUAC